rnacentral:rRNA from 1 species
GACGAACGCUGGCGGCGUGCCUAAUACAUGCAAGUCGAACGAGUGGCGGACGGGUGAGUAAUGUCUGGGAAACUGCCCGAUGGAGGGGGAUAACUACUGGAAACGGUAGCUAAUACCGCAUACCAUCGGAUGUGCCCAGAUGGGAUUAGCUAGUAGUUGGGGUAAAGGCUCACCUAGGCGACGAUCCCUAGCUGGUCUGAGAGGAUGACCAGCCACACUGGAAAUGAGACACGGUCCAGACUCCUACGUGAGGCAGCAGUGGGGAAUAUUGCAUAAUGGGCGCAAGCCUGAUGCAGCCAUGCCGCGUGUAUGAAGAAGGCCGUCGGGUUGUAAAGUACUUUCAGCGAGGAGGCGUUACUCGCAGAAUAAGCACCGGCUAACUCCGUGCCAGCAGCCGCGGUAAUAC